rnacentral:rRNA from 1 species
GAUGAACGCUGGCGGCGUGCCUAAUACAUGCAAGUCGAGCGAACAGAUGAGGAGCUUGCUCCUCUGACGUUAGCGGCGGACGGGUGAGUAACACGUGGAUAACCUACCUAUAAGACUGGGAUAACUUCGGGAAACCGGAGCUCAUACCGGAUCAUAUAUUGAACCGCAUGGUUCAAUAGUGAAAGACGGUUUUGCUGUCACUUAUAGAUGGAUCCGCGCCGCAUUAGCUAGUUGGUAAGGUAACGGCUUACCAAGGCAACGAUGCGUAGCCGACCUGAGAGGGUGAUCGGCCACACUGGAACUGAGACACGGUCCAGACUCCUACGGGAGGCAGCAGUAGGGAAUCUUCCGCAAUGGGCGAAAGCCUGACGGAGCAACGCCGCGUGAGUGAUGAAGGUCUUCGGAUCGUAAAACUCUGUUAUGAGGGAAGAACAAAUGUGUAAGUAACUAUGCACGUCUUGACGGUACCUAAUCAGAAAGCCACGGCUAACUACGUG